AUGAGGGGUCCAGCAUUUCCAGUUGAAAAUCGGCUUGCGUGCGGCAAGGACACUUCAGUGUAACGUACGAUACAGGCGCAACAAGUUUAGUUUCCGCGGUUCGUGUUUAAAUCUUACCGGCAGUUGCGUCCUAGCUGCUUAAUUCCAGUUGGUUUCUCUGGAGAAGUUUGCGUAAUCUGUACUUCUGGAUGAAAGUCCAGAAAGUAAAGGAGAUUUUUAGUAAAAAAUAGACAGGUCGGCUUACGCAGAAUAUGAAAGCGGGUGAAAAGAAGAGUGCGAUAAUGGACCUGCUGUUAGUACGUCGCUUGUGAGGUGCCUUUUGUAAACGCUUAUUUUGUGGAGGACAUUAUUUGUUAAAAUUUUAUUAGGGACCUAACCCGCCAUCAGCCAUGCCGUGACAGCAUCAUGCCAUGAACUUUUGGCAAUACAUGGAGAUCGUCAUAACGUUGUUUGUCGGUGGGUGCAUCGUUGGUUCGUUACUCUUUUGCUACUGCUGCGUCUUCAGACAGCUAUGUUGCCCCCCACGCCGCAGGAAACAACCCCAAGACGACGACAAACCGAGUCCAGAAUCAAUAUCUUUA